rnacentral:rRNA from 1 species
GACGAACGCUGGCGGCGUGCUUAACACAUGCAAGUCGAACGAGUGGCGAACGGGUGAGUAACACGUGGGGAUCUGCCUGAUGGAGGGGGAUAACUACUGGAAACGGUAGCUAAUACCGCAUACCAUCAGAUGUGCCCAGAUGGGAUUAGCUAGUAGGUGGGGUAAUGGCUCACCUAGGCGACGAUCCCUAGCUGGUCUGAGAGGAUGACCAGCCACACUGGAACUGAGACACGGUCCAGACUCCUACGGGAGGCAGCAGUGGGGAAUAUUGCACAAUGGGCGCAAGCCUGAUGCAGCCAUGCCGCGUGUGUGAAGAAGGCCUUCGGGUUGUAAAGCACUUUCAGCGAGGAGGCGUUACUCGCAGAAGAAGCACCGGCUAACUCCGUGCCAGCAGCCGCGGUAAUAC